rnacentral:rRNA from 1 species
GCGGACGGGUGAGUAACACGUAGGCAACCUGCCCGUAAGACCGGGAUAACAUAGGGAAACUUAUGCUAAUACCGGAUAGGGCAUUCUCUCGCAUGAGAGAAUGCGGAAAGGUGGCGCAAGCUACCACUUACGGAUGGGCCUGCGGCGCAUUAGCUAGUUGGUGGGGUAACGGCCUACCAAGGCGACGAUGCGUAGCCGACCUGAGAGGGUGACCGGCCACACUGGGACUGAGACACGGCCCAGACUCCUACGGGAGGCAGCAGUAGGGAAUUUUCCACAAUGGGCGAAAGCCUGAUGGAGCAACGCCGCGUGAACGAUGAAGGCCUUCGGGUUGUAAAGUUCUGUUGUUAGGGACGAACAAGUGCCGUUCGAAUAGGGCGGCACCCUGACGGUACCUAACGAGGAAGCCACGGCUAACUACGUGCCAGCAGCCGCGGUAAUACGUAGGUGGCAAGCGUUGUCCGGAAUUAUUGGGCGUAAAGCGCGCGCAGGCGGUUAUGUAAGUCUGAUGUUAAAGCCCGGGGCUCAACCCCGGUUCGCAUUGGAAACUGCGUAACUUGAGUGCAGAAGAGGAAAGCGGUAUUCCACGUGUAGCGGUGAAAUGCGUAGAGAUGUGGAGGAACACCAGUGGCGAAGGCGGCUUUCUGGUCUGUAACUGACGCUGAGGCGCGAAAGCGUGGGGAGCAAACAGGA